rnacentral:rRNA from 1 species
CUAACGAUUGAUCUAGUUACUUAGAAAGAUGAGAUUAUGAAAAAUUAUGCAUUAAUUGUUUUUUAAAUGAUUAAUGUGUAUAGUAUAAAUAAUAAUGAAGAAUAUAAAAUCUUAAUAUAUUUUUGUAAAAAUAAUGAUAAAAAAAUAUAUUGAUGUCUUAACCAAAAUUAGUGCCAGCAGUUGCGGCUAAACUAAGGAGGCAAACGUUAAUCAUUAAAGGCUUAAAGGAUCCGUAGAAUGAUAUAUAAUAUAUAUAAUAGAGUUAAAUAAAAGAAUAAUGAAUAAUUAUAUUGAGAGAUGAAAUUUGAUGAUAAUAAUUAGACAGAUAAUAUUGAAGAUUUUAUUCACAAUUUAAACUAACAUUGAGGGAUGAAGGCAUGAGUAUCAAAACGGAUUAGAUACCCGAGUAGUUCAUGCAGUAAACUAUGAAUACUAAAUAUAAUAAGUUAUAUAUAAGUGAAAGCUAAAGUAUUCCGCCAGGUGAG